AUGGGCUCGUUCGGGAUGGAGUGGAACCAGAGGAGCUCGGUGCUGUGGGACUGGGAGAAUUUCCCGCCGAUAGGCGAGAACCCCAAGAACGCGAUGCAGGCCGAUCCAAGAUUUGCCGCCGUUGCGGCUACCAUGGGGAAUGAACCGCUCCAUUCUUCUGGCGGUAGCGGCACCUUCUCUUCCAGCUCAGAGAUGGGGUAUGGCUCUUCCAAGAGCUCCAUGUCCGCGUCGAUCGAUUCUUCGAACAGGGCUGGGAACAACAUGGAGUUCAGAUUUGCGCCUGUCAAAAACCCUGAUAGGAACACGAGCAAGAACACCGAGCUGGGUAAAGUUGAUAACACGAGAACUGGAACAUCUCCGUCGCCUGUGGUGGCAGUGAGCAGUGGAGAGCCGGUGAUCGGCCUGAAGCUUGGCAAGAGAACUUACUUCGAGGAUGUCUGUGGAGGGCAGAAUGUCAAGAGCUCGCCAUCGGGUGCUGCGAGCGCGCCAAACAAAUCUCCUGCUUUGGGCAAGAAGGCAAAGGCGGAACAACAGAAGCCACAUAACUCGUACUGUCAGGUUGAAGGCUGCAAAGUCGACCUCUCUUCUGUUAAAGAUUACCAUCGAAAGCACAGAGUCUGUGAACUUCACUCUAAGGCUCCGAAAGUUGUUGUCGCUGGUCUGGAGCGACGCUUUUGCCAACAGUGCAGCCGGUUUCAUGCUUUAGCUGAGUUUGACCAGAAAAAGCGAAGCUGCCGUAGGCGUCUCAAUGAUCAUAAUUCCCGCAGGCGGAAGCCACAGCCAGAAGCAAUUUCUUUCAGUUCAUCAAGGAUGUCUACGAUGUUUUAUGAUGCAAGGCAACAGCCAAAUUUCCUAUUUGGUCAGGCUCCUUAUGUUCAAAUGAGAAGCUGUGGAAGUUCUUCAUGGGAUGACCCAGGAGGCUUCAAAGUUACACACACAAAAGCUCCUUGGUUAAAACCAACAACUGCUGCAGGUGUUCAUGGGAUACAUUUAUCUAGUCAGCAGAUGUCGGACAAUAUUAUGCCACAUGGUGCACAUCAUGGUUUCGAUGGGUUCAUGGCAUUCAAGGGAACUUGUACAAAGUUCCCUAAUCAAGGUGUCCAAGCUUCUGCUGUUGCUUCCGACUCCAGUGGAGCCCCGGAUCUUCAGCAUGCUCUCUCUCUUCUGUCAAGCAACCCAGUGGGUGCUGCCAACCUCCAGCCAAGUCCCCAGAUGCACUCUGGGGUGGCAGCCAUUGCCGGCGCCCCCAACCCCGCGAUGCACGCGCUGGGAUCAUCGACGGGGCUCUGGCUAGACGGCAGCCAGCCCCUCGAUGAUCACCCGCGGUUCCAGGUCUUCGAGCGCUUGGGGGACCAUGACAGCGAGCUCCAGCUCCCAAAGCCUUCCUACGACCAUGCCUCGCACUUCGACCGGAUGCACUGA
rnacentral:rRNA from 1 species